rnacentral:rRNA from 1 species
AGCCGCCGCGGGUAACACCGGCGGCCCGAGUGGUGAUCGUGAUUAUUGGGUCUAAAGGGUCCGUAGCCGGUUUGGUCAGUCCUCCGGGAAAUCUGAUAGCUCAACUAUUAGGCUUUCGGGGGAUACUGCCAGACUUGGAACCGGGAGAGGUAAGAGGUACUACAGGGGUAGGAGUGAAAUCUUGUAAUCCCUGUGGGACCACCUGUGGCGAAGGCGUCUUACCAGAACGGGUUCGACGGUGAGGGACGAAAGCUGGGGGCACGAACCGGAUUAGAUACCCGGGUAGUCCCAGCCGUAAACGAUGCUCGCUAGGUGUCAGGCAUGGCGCGACCGUGUCUGGUGCCGCAGGGAAGCCGUGAAGCGAGCCACCUGGGAAGUACGGCCGCAAGGCUGAAACUUAAAGGAAUUGGCGGGGGAGCACAACAACGGGUGGAAGCCUGCGGUUUAAUUGGACUCAACGCCGGACAACUCACCGGGGGCGACAGCAAUAUGUAGGCCAAGCUGAAGACUUUGCCGGAAUCGCUGAGAAGUGGUGCAUGG